AUGCAACUUCCAUUCACGAGGGGGGGCUGUGUUUACACAUCAUACCAUGGGUUUCAUGAAUCACCAUAUUCAGAGAUUCGUCAACAUAGCUUGUUGCCAGAUAAUCUUCCGUGUGUGAAAGGCAUCAAGCUUCCAUGCAAUGGAUGGCUUUUGCAAACCCGACAUGUGGCGAUGUGGUUCAUGCCAACAGCAAAUAUGCACAACUUGAUUCGUGCUUUACCAUAUAACUGGAAUUACCGAUGCAAGUCAAAGAAGGAUUGGCCGGUGCUACCGGCUGGCGUCAAGUUCGAUCCCACGGAUCAGGAGCUAAUCGAGCACCUUGAGGCCAAAGUGAGUGCUGACAGCGUGAGAUUUCGGUCCCUCAUCGAUUUGUUCAUACCAACCAUCGACAGCGAGCACGGCAUAUGCUACACCCAACCUGAGAAACUUCCAGCAAAAAAGGUUCUGGUGCUGCACACCAACAAGAACUUCGACCAGCAGAGGACCAACUGGGUGAUGCACCAGUACCACCUCGGGGACCUGGAGCAAGAGAAGGAGCGGGAGCUAGUCCUCUGCAAGAUUUUCUACCAGACGAACACUAGGGCCAGGAGUAAAAAGAUUAUAAGUUAG
rnacentral:rRNA from 1 species